rnacentral:rRNA from 1 species
AUGGUAGAGAAAAAAAUUUGCAAAUUACAAAACAAGUGGACAACACGUCAGCAAUGCCGACGACACCAAAGACCUAAACCACCCCCCACCUUGAAACAUGACCGCAAACCGAAGUUACAUGACAUCAAAGUCUUUGGAGACACCUCCACGAAGGUAAAUGACACACGUGAGUGCCAUCAUCGUCGGCACCUACCCCUGGCGAAGACUCGCUCUUUUGCACAAAACUGCGCCACACCACUACACCGAACGCCGGGUAGGGUUCGACCAUGCCAAAUCAUCCACUACCUAACCAAGUCCAACCAAUCACAGUGUAGUGUAGAGGGACUGCUCGUCGACGAUGCCUCCAAGUAG